CGCGGCCUAUCAGCUUGUUGGUGGGGUAAUGGCCUACCAAGGCGACGACGGGUAGCCGGCCUGAGAGGGCGACCGGCCACACUGGGGCUGAGACACGGCCCAGACUCCUACGGGAGGCAGCAGUGGGGAAUAUUGCACAAUGGGCGAAAGCCUGAUGCAGCGACGCCGCGUGAGGGAUGACGGCCUUCGGGUUGUAAACCUCUUUCAGCAGGGACGAAGCGUAAGUGACGGUACCUGCAGAAGAAGCGCCGGCCAACUACGUGCCAGCAGCCGCGGUAAGACGUAGGGCGCGAGCGUUGUCCGGAUUUAUUGGGCGUAAAGAGCUCGUAGGCGGCUUGUCGCGUCGACUGUGAAAACCCGCAGCUCAACUGCGGGCCUGCAGUCGAUACGGGCAGGCUAGAGUUCGGUAGGGGAGACUGGAAUUCCUGGUGUAGCGGUGGAAUGCGCAGAUAUCAGGAGGAACACCGGUGGCGAAGGCGGGUCUCUGGGCCGAUACUGACGCUGAGGAGCGAAAGCGUGGGGAGCGAACAGGAUUAGAUACCCUGGUAGUCCACGCUGCAAACGUUGGGCGCUAGGUGUGGGGGACCUCUCCGGUUCUCUGUGCCGCAGCUAACGCAUUAAGCGCCCCGCCUGGGGAGUACGG
rnacentral:rRNA from 1 species